rnacentral:tRNA from 1 species
GGCCUCGUAGCUCAGCCCUAAAGCGUUCGCUGUACAAAAGCUUGGGCGGCGUCCAUAUGUGGGUUCGAAUCCCACCGAGGCUA